UACGUAGGGGGCAAGCGUUGUCCGGAUUUAUUGGGCGUAAAGAGCUCGUAGGCGGCUCGUCGCGUCGACCGUGAAAACUCACAGCUCAACUGUGGGCGUGCGGGCGAUACGGGCAGACUAGAGUACUGCAGGGGAGACUGGAAUUCCUGGUGUAGCGGUGGAAUGCGCAGAUAUCAGGAGGAACACCGGUGGCGAAGGCGGGUCUCUGGGCAGUAACUGACGCUGGAGGA
rnacentral:rRNA from 1 species